GCUAUGUUAAGUGUUUACUAGACCAACAUGUGUCACUUCGUGAUUGAUUAAAUUUAAAGUAUUUUUAAAAAUUAAUUAUAAUUGAUUUUAAAAUAAAAAAUUAAUUAAAAUAAUAUAAAAUUAAAAAUAAUUAAAUAAAAAACAAAACGGAUUUUAAUUAUUAAAAACACUUUUUAAUCUUUUGUAAAAUAAAAUUUAUUAAAGAGAAAUUAAAUCUAAGAUAAGGUAGAACACAAUUUAGAUUUCUAAAAAAUCAAAAGAAAAAAGAGAGAAAGAAAAAAAAAAGAGAAAUAGAAGAACACAACUUGGGGCUGGGGUUGAGGUUGAGGUAUAAGGAGACACGAUUGGACCAGAUCUGGUUUUUUGGUGAUAGGGAUUAGAGGCAAUUGGAGCUGUGGUCGGAGACACGAUUGAGGAUCUGAAGCUUGGGAACAUAUUUGGUUUUUCGGUGACAGGGACUAGAGGCAACUGGAGCUUGGGUCUGAGACACGUCUUCUUCCUCUUGGACAUAGUUGGCCUUGGACGGUAGCCAUGAACGACGCCAAGCAGUGAAGGAAGAUGCAUGUCUUCGAUCUGCAUAGACAAGUACAAAGGGCUUCGCAAGGGUGAUGCUGGUGGCUAAGAAGUGAGGUCGAUGGGACUCAUGUGGGUGGGUUGUAGAGAUGUCGUCCUUGCCAAAGCAGAUCUAGAUUUUGGGAAUGUGUUCAUUAGGUUUUGUAUUAAUUUGGGUAUGUGUUCAUGGGUUUUGUCUUGAGUGUUCUUGAAUCUAGGUUUGAUUAAGUUGUUCUUUCUUGAAUCUGGGCAUAUAAUUUUCAAAUUAAACCAACACAAAUUGAAUUUGUUUGUAUAAUGUUCAUAUUGAAUAUGGAUUCUUGAUUAAGUUGUUCUUGAAUCUAGUUUUGGUUUUAUGGAUUUGUUAUAUAUAGAAAACUAAACCAUGGCUUGAGAUCAAAUUUUUUGUAAGGACAGCUAAAUGGUUCAGGACUUGUUUCUAUUUCUUUC